GGCCAAGAGGCCCACAUUUCUGGAAUUUAUGAGUCUAACAUGACGCAAGUGGUCAACAAAUACUAAAAGUCAAAUGUUUCAAGGUUUAGUUUCAAGUGAAAGUAGAACAAUUUCCGUAAAGCUGCCAGUGCAGACACGACGUGAAAAUACCGAAUUUUGCGCAUGUUAGCUUAGGACUUAUGAGUUAUCAAAACCACGUUCCGUAAAAUGCCCAGCGGUUUUCACACAGAAGUCGGAUAUUAUUUCCAGAGCUGGUUGAGCAGAGGACACGUGAUUUAAGACAGCUUGACAUCAUGCUGCUGUACCUGCGUUCAUGGCUGUCUGGGGCAUCCUGGAGCAUCGGCUGCAUCUCCUCCUGGGGUGAGGGGGUGAGAGUGGCUGUGGACUGGUGACUGUAAGACACGGCAGCAGGGGAAGAAGCUGCCCCACGGAUGGGAGGAGUGGGCCCCCUCUCCAUCUCUUCUUCCUCCUCCAGCUCAUCAGGCUGCAGCACUGCUGACACCUUCUCCACCUCUCUGAUAUGCCACUGAAAGAGAGAAAAUGAGUUUCUGUCAUGAUUCCACCGUCGUUAUGAUUGUCGUGAUGUCCUUAUUUUCACCACAGUCAUGUCACCAUCAUCUUUCCUCCAGCGGACAGUGGGAACUGGAUCGCCACGGGCCUCACACCUGAACUCUACGCUUUGGUCCACUAACACCACCUGACUACUCGGGCGACG